GUCGGUUCUGGAUAAGAGGGAAAGUUGUAUGAGUUUUUUAUUUGAUAACUGGAUGAGUGCACGUAUGUAAAGUUUAUGCAAAUCUCAUGGUUAUCUUUUUUAUUUAUUUUCAGGAAUGUUAAGACAUUUUUGUUAAUUUGCAAGCAUUUAUAAAAAUAAAGAAGUUGACACAAAAAAUGAAAUAUAAAUAUUAUUUUUAAUCAUUUGAAAUUCAAGUACAAAGAGUUCCUAUGACUACAUAUGGGUCAUACGGAUCAUUACAAGAUC
rnacentral:lncRNA from 1 species